rnacentral:rRNA from 2 species
CAUCAUUUAAAGAAAGCGUAAUAGCUCACUGGUCGAGUCGGCCUGCGCGGAAGAUGUAACGGGGCUAAACCAUGCACCGAAGCUGCGGCAGCGACGCUUAUGCGUUGUUGGGUAGGGGAGCGUUCUGUAAGCCUGCGAAGGUGUACUGUGAGGUAUGCUGGAGGUAUCAGAAGUGCGAAUGCUGACAUAAGUAACGAUAAAGCGGGUGAAAAGCCCGCUCGCCGGAAGACCAAGGGUUCCUGUCCAACGUUAAUCGGGGCAGGGUGAGUCGACCCCUAAGGCGAGGCCGAAAGGCGUAGUCGAUGGGAAACAGGUUAAUAUUCCUGUACUUGGUGUUACUGCGAAGGGGGGACGGAGAAGGCUAUGUUGGCCGGGCGACGGUUGUCCCGGUUUAAGCGUGUAGGCUGGUUUUCCAGGCAAAUCCGGAAAAUCAAGGCUGAGGCGUGAUGACGAGGCACUACGGUGCUGAAGCAACAAAUGCCCUGCUUCCAGGAAAAGCCUCUAAGCAUCAGGUAACAUCAAAUCGUACCCCAAACCGACACAGGUGGUCAGGUAGAGAAUACCAAGGCGCUUGAGAGAACUCGGGUGAAGGAACUAGGCAAAAUGGUGCCGUAACUUCGGGAGAAGGCACGCUGAUACGUAGGUGAAGCGACUUGCUCGUGGAGCUGAAAUCAGUCGAAGAUACCAGCUGGCUGCAACUGUUUAUUAAAAACACAGCACUGUGCAAACACGAAAGUGGACGUAUACGGUGUGACGCCUGCCCGGUGCCGGAAGGUUAAUUGAUGGGGUUAGCGGUAACGCGAAGCUCUUGAUCGAAGCCCCGGUAAACGGCGGCCGUAACUAUAACGGUCCUAAGGUAGCGAAAUUCCUUGUCGGGUAAGUUCCGACCUGCACGAAUGGCGUAAUGAUGGCCAGGCUGUCUCCACCCGAGACUCAGUGAAAUUGAACUCGCUGUGAAGAUGCAGUGUACCCGCGGCAAGACGGAAAGACCCCGUGAACCUUUACUAUAGCUUGACACUGAACAUUGAGCCUUGAUGUGUAGGAUAGGUGGGAGGCUUUGAAGUGUGGACGCCAGUCUGCAUGGAGCCGACCUUGAAAUACCACCCUUUAAUGUUUGAUGUUCUAACGUUGGCCCGUUAUCCGGGUUGCGGACAGUGUCUGGUGGGUAGUUUGACUGGGGCGGUCUCCUCCUAAAGAGUAACGGAGGAGCACGAAGGUUGGCUAAUCCUGGUCGGACAUCAGGAGGUUAGUGCAAUGGCAUAAGCCAGCUUGACUGCGAGCGUGACGGCGCGAGCAGGUGCGAAAGCAGGUCAUAGUGAUCCGGUGGUUCUGAAUGGAAGGGCCAUCGCUCAACGGAUAAAAGGUACUCCGGGGAUAACAGGCUGAUACCGCCCAAGAGUUCAUAUCGACGGCGGUGUUUGGCACCUCGAUGUCGGCUCAUCACAUCCUGGGGCUGAAGUAGGUCCCAAGGGUAUGGCUGUUCGCCAUUUAAAGUGGUACGCGAGCUGGGUUUAGAACGUCGUGAGACAGUUCGGUCCCUAUCUGCCGUGGGCGCUGGAGAACUGAGGGGGGCUGCUCCUAGUACGAGAGGACCGGAGUGGACGCAUCACUGGUGUUCGGGUUGUCAUGCCAAUGGCACUGCCCGGUAGCUAAAUGCGGAAGAGAUAAGUGCUGAAAGCAUCUAAGCACGAAACUUGCCCCGAGAUGAGUUCUCCCUGACUCCCUGAGAGUCCUGAAGGAACGUUGAAGACGACGACGUUGAUAGGCCGGGUGUGUAAGCGCAGCGAUGCGUUGAGCUAACCGGUACUAAUGAACCGUGAGGCUUAACCUU